UACGUAGGGUGCAAGCGUUAAUCGGAAUUACUGGGCGUAAAGCGUGCGCAGGCGGUUGUGUAAGACAGAUGUGAAAUCCCCGGGCUUAACCUGGGAACUGCAUUUGUGACUGCACGGCUGGAGUGCGGCAGAGGGGGAUGGAAUUCCGCGUGUAGCAGUGAAAUGCGUAGAGAUAUGGAGGAACACCAGUGGCGAAGGCGGUUACCUGGAGCUUUGCUGACGCUGAUGCGCGAAAGCGUGGGGAGCGAUCCGG
rnacentral:rRNA from 1 species